rnacentral:rRNA from 1 species
AAGUCGAACGGCAGCACGGACUUCGGUCUGGUGGCGAGUGGCGAACGGGUGAGUAAUAUAUCGGAACGUGCCCAGUCGUGGGGGAUAACGUAGUGAAAAUUACGCUAAUACCGCAUACGAUCUACGGAUGAAAGCGGGGGACUCGCAAGAGCCUCGCGCGAUUGGAGCGGCCGAUAUCAGAUUAGGUAGUUGGUGAGGUAAAGGCUCACCAAGCCCGCGAUCUGUAGCUGGUCUGAGAGGACGACCAGCCACACUGGAACUGAGACACGGUCCAGACUCCUACGGGAGGCAGCAGUGGGGAAUUUUGGACAAUGGACGAAAGUCUGAUCCAGCCAUUCCGCGUGCAGGAUGAAGGCCCUCGGGUUGUAAACUGCUUUUGUACGGAACGAAAAGGUCUCUCCUAAUACGAGAGGCUCAUGACGGUACCCGUAAGAAUAAGCACCGGCUAACUACGUGCCAGCAGCCGCGGUAAUACGUAGGGUGCAAGCGUUAAUCGGAAUUACUGGGCGUAAAGCGUGCGCAGGCGGUUAUAUAAGACAGAUGUGAAAUCCCCGGGCUCAACCUGGGAACUGCAUUUGUGACUGUAUAGCUAGAGUACCGGUAGAAGGGGGAUGGAAUUCCGCGUGUAGCAAUGAAAUGCGUAGAUAUGCGGAGGAACACCGAUGGCGAANGCAAUCCCCUGGGACCUGUCUGACCUCAUGCCCGAAAAGCGUGGGGAGCAAACAGGAUUAGAUACCCUGGUAGUCCACNCCCUAAACGAUGUNACUGGNUGGUGGGUCUUAACUGACUCAUAACCAAACUUACCCCUGAAAGUUGANCCCCUGGGGAGUCCGGCCCCAAGGUUGAAACCUCAAAGGAAUUGACGGGGA